AAAAAUUGUGGCUCAAGAACAAAACAUUGUUCCCCUGCCCCAAAAAAAAAAUAGUUUUGCAAUAUCACGUGGCUUGACUGUGAUUGGUGAUUUUAAAAACGGUGCCAAACAAAAAUUUGGGGAAAUUGUGGCCGUCUUUGGGGAGAUUUAACCGUGACUGAAUAAAUUUAUGCAGAAGAAGAAGGAGGCCGGUGGUUUGAUACAGCUAGGGAGGACCCACCUCGCUUUUCCUACCGAAUUAGUUGUGGCACGCUCUAUCAAAAACCCUAGCCGAGAAGACAACAUGGGCCUGACCUAUGGAUCGAGGUGUGAACAUGGUAUCCAUAAUCGGAGGGCUCCUGAUGGCUCCACCUCAUUUAACAAUCAAAAACCUAUAUUUGAAAGGAGCGGCUGAGAUGUACGAAAAUGGUGUAUUUGUUACUGUGGACCUCAAGUUCAUUGUGGACUCUCACAUCUGCAAUAUGCAUCUUUGAAAAUGUCCAACCUUAUGGAAGAUAUCUCUGCUUCAACCUCGUCAUCAGUUGCAACAAAGAUGCCAUUAAGCUUGCCCACGUAUUAUUGCCACCCUCUGAAGCUGAAGCCUCCCCUCCUGAAAGGUUUUCAUUGGUUUUGGUCAUCUCAAUUUGUAUUGGUUUUGGUCUUCUCAGUUUCUCAAUACUUGUUUAAAGACUCAUCUUUUCAUAGGGUAUCAAUAUCAUGGCUCGUAUAGUUUAUUUAGUAAUACUGUAUUAGUUAUUGACAGUGGUAGAGGCCUUGAAAACCAAUUGGUACAGUGUAAUAUUAUUUGAUAAAGUUACUUCAAAGUUCAGAAAAA